rnacentral:lncRNA from 1 species
CAUAAGUGAGCAAAGAGACAUUACAUCUGUUGACAAGGCGGAUUUCAAUAAUCUAAGCACAUUCAUGGAAAAUCAAUUAAAACAAGAAAAACAUUAGAAAUUUACCUUACCACCAAUAAAGAUAAAUGAGCUAUUUGAUGAGUUAACCAAACUUGAUGUAAAUAAAUCAUCGGGAACUGAUAACAUUGGACCCCAAUUCCUUAAAAUAAGU